GCUGAUCUGCCAAGCAUAUGAUUCCAGAGCAUCUCGUCACCAGCGACCUACCUACACUGGGACUUGACUGCUAGCCGACAGCACGUGAACCAUACCAUACAUCGUCGGGACCUCCAUGUCCGACUACUUGGGCUGCGGUGAGCCCCUUCUCUCUCUCUCUCUCUCUCUCUCUCUCUCUCUCUCUCUCUCUCUCUCUCUCUCUAUCUAUCUAUCUAUCUAUCUAUCUAUCUAUCUCUAUCUCUCACUCUCGCUCUCUCUCUCUCUCGCUCUUAGAAGGUCUUGCCAUUGAGCUAUGGGAGAUUGUUGUUGUCAUGUUGUGUGUAGUGGUGGUGGUCGUCGGCCACUACCAUGAUCUUGGGACUGUUGUCAGAUUUCUUUCUUGUCGAUUAAACAUGUCAUAAUACUUGUGCUUUGCGACGCCAUGUGUGUAUGUGGCUGUUACUAUGCUUUGUUGCCUAUGCAAGAUUCUGUUGUGCCUCGACGAAUAUGCUUUGUUUUAUCCAUUUCGAUAUCUUUUUUGCACUGCAUGUUGCAGGGUUUGGUAGUGGUCCAUGUUCUAGCUUUGGUAGGAUCCUUGCUUAUGUUGGGAUGUUGAUUUGUUAAUAAUGGCUAUCAUCGUAUAGAAAGAAAACGCUUACUUAUUAACUGUUGUAGUGUUGAUGUGCAUGAAUAGAUAGAACAAAUGCUAUCCUUAUGUGCUUUGGAGGGAGCCAUCAUACAUGUGUUAAUAAUAUUUCUGACUCAUCUUGGAUGUAUAUUUAAUCCAGUUGUAUGUUUGAUUGUCAGUUGUUUGCUAUGCUAGCUGAACAAUGGGCGCUUCUUUAAUUUGCUAUGUAGCUGAUUAGUUUAUGUAGCUCAACAUUUUUUGUUCUUUCCUAGGCCGCAUCGGAGCUGGGACUCGGCGCAAAUAACACCUACUCUGCAUCCUCUGACACCUCCGAUGAACGCUUAUUCUCUGACUUCGGCCUAGGUGAGCCAAUCGCUUCCUUUCUUUUGCAUGCUUACUCUCCUUCCUUGUGUGUCCACAACCAUCGAGCCGUGGUAAUUGUAUGCUGGCCAUUGCACCAUGGAAAUUUCUUGGGAUCAGUUUGGGGCUGUCGCGAUGGUGUCUGCUGUAAUCCACAUUUCUGUUUUUGUGAAUGAACGAUGACCAAAAUAUUUUCCUUGCUAUGGUUGCGGCUGCAUUGCGCCAUAUUAAUUGAUACUUCCGAUUAUUACACAUGUUCUGAAUCCAUGAUGAUUAGGGUCCCAUGUAGUUUUUAAACUAAACUUGCUGCAGAAAAAGUUUUUGGAAUAAACUAGAUGCAGAAAAUUAUCACCUUCGACAAAAAAAAAGUGUCACCUUUGACAGCUUAAUUCACAUACUAGCUCAUAUAGUAAUUUUUUUUCUAGGAACCAAUCCUGCUUCCUAAACUGGGUCCAUGGUUUUUGGGGUUGUCUAUUUGUUGCUUCCCUUGUUGAUGUUGUAUUGGCCAGUAAAACAAAACAGUCUGUGCAGUUUUAUUUCUCCUGUUGCUAAGGUUGUUAAUGACCACUGGUGAGUAGUAUAUAGUUUUCUCCUCCGGCUACAAGCUUCCUUGAUUUUUAUGCGGCACUGUGACUCGUUGUGUCCCGAGCACUCAAAUUUCUUUUGCGAUAAUCUCCAAAGGAUUUGGGAUCUCCGAUGUUGCACCAGUGCCAGUACUUGUAGCAUAUGUUCUUUGUUUGCUCCUUCACGAGUAGAAGAAUGAAACAUUUGGGCUUAGGAUCUUGCUGCAUAUCAACACUCUUCAGUCUCUUGAGCACUCUUCAGUCUGUUGAGGUUGUUGUUGGCAAGGGUAAGCAGUGAACCAUAUAUUAACAGUUUUUUAUUUGGAACUUUGACUAUCAGUUCCUAUGAAAAAUAUGUUGCUUCAAAUUUAACCAAAUAUUGAUUAUAAACAUAUAUUUCAAGAUAAUCUAGUAGUAUUAAUGUGUUGCAGUUGUUGGUAUUUGGUAUAUAUUGAUAGUUGUGAUCAACCUUUAAAUUCAGGUCCUGCAUUUGGAUCUUGUUCUUGCUGCUUUGGUUAGGCAGCAAUUUAGAAUCUCUAUAGCAAUAGGCUUGCAUGUCACGCUAAUCAAGUAUGAAGCAAAGAGUUAGUUCAUAUUGUGUCUGCAAAGGCUAGCUUGCCUAGUUAGGGCCCGUAUCUUAAUCAGUGCUUUUAAUCCUCUGUUGAUGUAUCUCCCAUCGUGGUCGAUCCUUGCGGCUUGCCUUUGCAUAUUUGCACUGUUUAGUCUGUAUUAGUUGUCUUUGCCAUUGCAUAAUCAUGUUUUUCAUGUGCCAUUGGCUGUUACAAGUCGCACUUUGAGUUGUUUAUUUACUUUACUAAGUAAUAUUCCUUCCAUGAGAUGAGGUUUGCCUGCAACGGUGGCUGUGGUCGCUACGUCUUCCUUGGUUCCGGUGAGUCCAUGGUCAUCUUCCUUUAUCCAUGUGCCUUGAGAUGGCCUGGCAAUUGAGACGUGGCUGAUUGUGGUGCUGGCCACUGGGUCAAUGAUUUAGGGUUUUGUGUUGUGGUGGUGGUCUUCCGGCCACGGCAAACUUGUGUUUGUGAUGCUCUUGUUGUUGAAAUUAGUCCCUGUGCUUGUUAGGAUUUUUUGCUACUGUGCAUGUUGUUUGUUUGGGUUUGAUACUCAUUCCAGAGAAGCUUUUUGUAGUAGAAUGAGAUCUUGUUUUAGUUAUUCAAUCGGUGUCGGCAGAAGCAUUUUUACUUUUAAGAUAAUCAUCAUGAUUCGAUAUUUGUAAUCUGAGUAGCUACUCCUUUGCAAUUCUUUGUAGUGGCUUGAGUACAAACUCGGAACUGCAGCUCCUGUUGGCGCGACCUGGUGGUUGAUGUUGCAGCCUCCAGCAUAAAUAAUUAAGGUCCUGCUAUUCGAUCAUGCUGUUGUUGCUUUUGUCAGGCGGCAAUUUCUAUUACUUUGUGUGAGACUGUUCUAGGAGUACUCAGCCCUCCUAGCUAACUUGCCUAGUUAGUGCCUCGCAUGUUAGGUGUAUUAGUGCUUUUAAUCCUCCGUCGAUGUAUCUCCCAAUGUGGUUGAGUUUCGCGGCUUGCCUGCUUUGCAUAAUUGCACUGUUUCGUGUGUAUUAGUUGUCCGCCUUUGCAAACUUGUGGUUUUCAUGUGCCAUUGGAUGUUACAAGUUGCACCUUGAUGCAUAUGCGAGUUGUUUAUUUGCUUUACUGUCCGACAUUAUUUUCAUGAGCUUGGCCAUUAAAUAUCAUUCUAACUUGAAAGCCAUUUCAUAUUCAUGAAAAGGUUUCUCCUUUUGCCUUUACAUGAGGUCGGUUGCUGGUGCUUUGUAAACAAGCAGCCAUAUUUGUCUCGACUUGUGUUUUGUUGUUGAGAAACCUGGCUCGGUUUCGGUUUAGAUAUUAUUACAAGGGACAAAGGAGCAAACCUAAAGAAAAUAAAAACCUGACUCGGUUGUUUGUUUAGAUUUGAUAAUCGUUUAGGAUCUUGGCAUGCCGCUGGCCAGGAUGUGGAUUUUGAUAUCAAAGGGAUGAUUUCCUUAGACGUGUAGACUUAACCAUAUAGAUAAAUUGGACUGUCAACUUAAUCUUUCUGUAAGUUACUUGCAUGAGUAUUUGCAAAGAAUUCCUGAGAAGUUCAAUUUUUUUAGUAGAAUUAAUUAGAUCAUGGUUGUGCCACUUGAUCUUUUUACCAAGAGUUAAUGAUGUGCUUUUCUAUUGCUGGAUAGAAGAGUAGAACGGAAAAGCAAGGGCGGUGUCAUGCUUGAUAUACUCCCUUGUGUUGCGUUGUGAGUAAUAAGAUCGUCUGACCUGUGAUGAGCUUGCUUUCCCAGAUGUACAAGUAAUUUGUGGUGCUUGACUUGUUUUACAUGCCUCCUUUAUAAAUUCUAGGAUUUCUGAUGUACUCCCUCUAUAGCAAAAUACAAGACCUUUUUUGAUAAUUCCUUUGUAUAAAAAAGUCUUGUAUUUUGAUAAGGAGGGAGUAUUAAACUGUUGCUGACUUGAUGCAAGCACUGUGCUUUCAGAUGCAUGGCAGUGACGGUUUGGCGCCAUUGAGAUUGAUGACGCAUGAUGCUGCUGCAAGGCGCCGACGAGAGAAGCACCUCCAAGGUCCGAGAUUUGCAAGCACCAGAUGAAGUGGCAAGGCGAGCUGGCCGGAUCGUGUUAGUGUGUGCAUUGUUUGUCCUGGCGAAGUGCUAAUUGUUGAUAUGGGUGGUGAUGUUGUUGUGUGUACAUACAAUACAUAAAACAAAAUGUCUUGGCUGUUUGCUGCUGCUCUCUUGGUCAGCUGGCUGGUUGUGUUGCCCAAGUGGUGGAGGAAAUUCAAAUAUCCUUAUCUUUAUUUAUGUAUGUGUUGUCCCCAACCAAGCAUAGAUGAAAUGGGUUUGAAAUGCAAUGAAAUCUUGAGGAAAGGGUUUGAAUAGCUGUUGUUGCUGCUUUCCGGUUACAUAUUGUGUGAAUGAAUC
rnacentral:lncRNA from 1 species